UACGGGAGGCAGCAGUGGGGAAUAUUGCACAAUGGGCGCAAGCCUGAUGCAGCCAUGCCGCGUGUAUGAAAAAGGCCUUCGGGUUGUAAAGUACUUUCAGUCGUGAGGAAGGUGUUAAGGUUAAUAACCUUAGCAAUUGACGUUAGCGACAGAAGAAGCACCGGCUAACUCCGUGCCGGCAGCCGCGGUAAUACGGAGGGUGCGAGCGUUAAUCGGAAUUACUGGGCGUAAAGGGCACGCAGGCGGUUAAUUAAGUUGGAUGUGAAAUCCCCGGGCUUAACCUGGGAAUGGCAUUCAAGACUGGUUAGCUAGAGUCUUGUAGAGGGGGGUAGAAUUCCAUGUGUAGCGGUGAAAUGCGUAGAGAUGUGGAGGAAUACCGGUGGCGAAGGCGGCCCCUGGACAAAGACUGACGCUCAUGUGCGAAAGCGUGGGGAGCAAACAGGGAUUAGAUACCCGU
rnacentral:rRNA from 1 species